rnacentral:rRNA from 1 species
UACGUAGGGUGCGAGCGUUGUCCGGAAUUAUUGGGCGUAAAGAGCUUGUAGGCGGUUUGUCGCGUCUGCUGUGAAAAUCCGGGGCUCAACCCCGGACUUGCAGUGGAUACGGGCAGGCUAGAGUGUGGUAGGGGAGACUGGAAUUCCUGGUGUAGCGGUGGAAUGCGCAGAUAUCAGGAGGAACACCGAUGGCGAAGGCAGGUCUCUGGGCCGAUACUGACGCUGAGGAGCGAAAGCGUGGGGAGCGAACAGG